rnacentral:rRNA from 1 species
UACGGAGGAUCCGAGCGUUAUCCGGAAUUAUUGGGUUUAAAGGGUUCGUAGGCGGUUUAGUAAGUCAGUGGUGAAAUCUUACAGCUUAACUGUAAAAUUGCCGUUGAUACUGCUAGACUUGAAUAGUAUGGAAGUAAUUAGAAUAUGUAGUGUAGCGGUGAAAUGCUUAGAUAUUACAUGGAAUACCAAUUGCGAAGGCAGAUUACUACGUACUUAUUGACGCUGAUGAACGAAAGCGUGGGUAGCGAACAGG